UACGUAGGCAGCAAGCGUUGUUCGGAGUUACUGGGCGUAAAGAGCGCGCAGGCGGUUGAUUAAGUCGAAUGUGAAAGCCCCCCGGCUCAACUGGGGAGGGUCAUUCGAUACUGAUUGACUUGAAGGCAGGAGAGAGAAGUGGAAUUCCCGGUGUAGUGGUGAAAUGCGUAGAUAUCGGGAGGAACACCAGUGGCGAAGGCGACUACCUGGCCUGUUCUUGACGCUGAGGCGCGAAAGCUAGGGGAGCAAACGGG
rnacentral:rRNA from 1 species